UGCAACUUGGCUGAGGACAAAGCUGGGAGCCCUGACACCAACAGGGGGGCUUGGGAGGGGCUUCUCGGAGGAGAGGAAAUGGCGUCCAAAGUCCGGAGGGUGUGGGUGACAAAAACAAGACUCAGGAUGGCUCCAGGCAGAGGGCGCUCAGGGAUGGCCACGCUGUCCUUUCCGUAGAGCCGUGAGGAGACAGCCAGUAGAGAGUGCUGCGGUAACAGGCCUGUGCCACCAUGCUGGGGCCACUGUUUUUCUUCGGUACCCUCCCACCCCAUGCGCCCACAGCAGGCUUGGAAUUGCUUCAGAGACACGCCCUGCCCUUCUUCACUUGUGCCAAGGCACAAAGCCCAGUCCUUGGAGCCUCUGUGCAGAGGUGACUUGUGGUGUGGCCGCCAGGCCUUACCCCCCUGGACCCACGGACAGCUCAUCCUGGCUCUGCCUCCGCAGCACAGACUGUUUAAUAAAUAUUUAAUAGCAACAAUAAAAGAUCAACCUGGCAA
rnacentral:lncRNA from 1 species